rnacentral:lncRNA from 1 species
AACAGGAGAUUGACCACAACAGAUUGACGCGCCAGGAAGGAGAGAUACGAGCAAUCAUGGCAAAAAUCAGAGCUCAACAUUCAACAGGAUCUGUGAGAUAAUCUUUUCGCAGAAAAGAUAUUUCUCCCCCACCUCCAUUGGCAAAGUCCAACUCUUUGGUCCUGUAAUUACUAUGGACGCACAAAUUGCUGUCCUAAUACAAGAAAUGAAAGUAUUAAUGGAGGCGGUCC